GACGAACGCUGGCGGCGUGCUUAACACAUGCAAGUCGAACGGAGUGGCGAACGGGUGAGUAACACGUGGGUGAUCUGCCUUGCACUUCGGGAUAAGCUUGGGAAACUGGGUCUAAUACCGGAUAGUGCAAGAUGAGCUCGCGGCCUAUCAGCUUGUUGGUGGGGUAAUGGCCUACCAAGGCGUCGACGGGUAGCCGGCCUGAGAGGGUGUACGGCCACAUGGGUCCUGAGAUACGACGCAGACGCCGACGGGGGGCAGCAGUGGGAAAUAUUGCGCAAUGGGCGGAAGCCUGAUGCAGCGACGCUGGGUGGGGAAUGAAGGUCUUCGGGUUGUAAACUCCUUACGACAGGGACGCGGUACCUGUAUAAGAAGCACCGGCUAACUACGUGCCAGCAGCCGCGGUAAUAC
rnacentral:rRNA from 1 species